AGAUACUAUAAUUAAGAUGGUUAUAAUUUAAUUUUUUUACAGUUUGAUUUCGUUUGAAAAGAAACACAAACAGCAUAUUACAGAUAAACUGCAUCGUCGUAAAUGAAAUAUCUAAAUCAUAUGCAAUGAAAUAUUUAUAUCAAUUCUUUAAUGCUGCUUUGAAAGUUUUUGUCGAGUAAUAGCUUAUCAAACACAAACCAAGGUUUAAAC
rnacentral:lncRNA from 1 species